AUCAGAGGUCAGGCAAGGUCUCUUCACCACUGUGCAUGCCAGAAGAGCUGGUGCUGCAGCUUUGGUGGAUUCUCCUAUCUGCGUCUUCCAUCUCUUCAUAGGAACUCCGGGAUUACAGACAUGCUUGCUACUGUAGCCAGAUGAUGGCAGAUAUGUACAAAUUCUCAGGUUAUGCCAGAAGGAUAUUGAGUGAAGUCUCACUGGGCCAGGACCUACAGUAGACUCCAGUAGGCUGCUACCCACUCCCUGAUGUCAGGCAGCUUCCUGCUUCUGAUGGAGAAGUGGUGAGCUUUCAUGGCGUGCAAGGGUCUUAUGUUGCUUGGGCUGAACUGAUCCCUGCUUCAGUUUCCCAUGUGUUAAGAUGAAUUAUAGGCACAUGCCACCAUGGCCAACUUCUGUGGAUCACCUGAUAUGGGACACAUAUUUUGGAAGAAGCCUUUAAACAAACAUGCUUGGGUCUAGAGGAGAAGGAGCCAUAACAUCACUCCAUUGCCAGAUUUUACAUGAAGUGGAAUAGCAUAAA